UACGAGGGGGGCAAGCGUUGUUCGGAAUUAUUGGGCGUAAAGGGUGCGUAGGCGGUUUGGUAAGUCUUAUGUGAAAUCUACAGGCUCAACUUGUAGUCUGCAUGAGAAACUGCCGGGCUUGAGUAUGGGAGAGGUGAGUGGAAUUCCUGGUGUAGCGGUGGAAUGCGCAGAUAUCAGGAGGAACACCAAUAGCGAAGGCAGCUCGCUGGGACGGUACUGACGCUAAGGCGCGAAAGCGUGGGGAGCGAACAGG
rnacentral:rRNA from 1 species